rnacentral:rRNA from 1 species
UACGGGGGGGGCAAGCGUUGUUCGGAAUUACUGGGCGUAAAGGGCUCGUAGGCGGCCAACUAAGUCAGACGUGAAAUCCCCAGGCUUAACCUGGGAACUGCGUCUGAUACUGGAUGGCUUGAAUUCGGGAGAGGGAUGCAGAAUUCCAGGUGUAGCGGUGAAAUGCGUAGAGCUCGGGAAGAACAUCGGUGGCGAAAGCGCUCUGCUGGACUGCAACUGACACUCAGGGACGAAAGCUAGGGGAGCGAAUGGG